UACAGAGGGUGCGAGCGUUGUUCGGAAUUACUGGGCGUAAAGCGCGCGCAGGCGGCCCUUUAAGUCUGACGGUGAAAUGCCGGGGCUCAACCCCGUGCCCGCCGCGGAUACUGGAGGGCUGGAGACACGUAGAGGCAAGCGGAAUUCCGGGUGUAGCGGUGAAAUGCGCAGAUAUCAGGAGGAACACCUGUGGCGAAGGCGGGUCUCUGGGCCGAUACUGACGCUGAGGAGCGAAAGCGUGGGGAGCGAACAGG
rnacentral:rRNA from 1 species